AUAAUUUUAACUUAAUAAUUGUUUCUUCUUUUCUUUUAACAGAAAUCAUACCAAAGAGCAUAGCAAAGAGCAAAGCAAAGGCAUUGCCAUAUCUGAUGAAACUGGUCUGCCAGUAUGUGUUUCUCAUCGUUUCCUAACUGAAGCUCCAGAUUUAAUGAAACUGGAAAGAGAUAUUUGCCAUACCAUGGAUACGGAUCAUGUUUAUAAGCCUUUGGGUUGCCAGACCUCUUACAGAGGCCGGAAAUAAGCAGAUGAUAAAGCCAACCAGUGCUCUCUUUUGCCCGAGACUCCACAUAAAGCAUUUUUAUUAGAGAGAGUGAUGUUCAGUCAACAUAAUGAUGCCAUCAGUUUGGCCAGAUACCAAAAUCAAUGCCCUAGCUAUUUGUCCAGCAUCUGUGCUGCUGAAGACAGGGCUUUCUGUUGACUCCAUAAAUUAAAGAUCAAGUAGCAACAAGGAAGGCUGGAGAAGCUGAUUCCCAGGAAAACAAUGAAGCAAAGGUAGAGUUCAUUUGCCUUUUUUUACUCCUGCUGUGGUGGUGAAAGAU
rnacentral:lncRNA from 1 species